rnacentral:rRNA from 1 species
CGUGUCCUACGGGGGGCAGCAGUGGGGGAUAUUGCACAAUGGGGGGAACCCUGAUGCAGCGACGCCGCGUGAGCGAAGAAGUACCUCGGUAUGUAAAGCUCUAUCAGCAGGGAAGAAAAUGACGGUACCUGACUAAGAAGCCCCGGCUAAAUACGUGCCAGCAGCCGCGGUAAUACGUAUGGGGCAAGCGUUAUCCGGAUUUACUGGGUGUAAAGGGAGCGCAGGCGGCCUGCCAAGUCUGGUGUGAAAACCAGGGGCCCAACCACGGGCCUGCAUUGGAGACUGGC